GGAGUAUUGGACAAUGGGCGUAAAGCGCGCGUAGGUGGUUUGUUAAGUUGGAUGUGAAAUCCCCGGGCUCAACCUGGGAACUGCAUUCAAAACUGACUGACUAGAGUAUGGUAGAGGGUGGUGGAAUUUCCUGUGUAGCGGUGAAAUGCGUAGAUAUAGGAAGGAACACCAGUGGCGAAGGCGACCACCUGGACUAAUACUGACACUGAGGUGCGAAAGCGUGGGGAGCAAACAGGAUUAGAUACCCCUG
rnacentral:rRNA from 1 species